CCUCGGGUCAUUAAGGACUGACCUGAGGAACACACACACACACACACACACACACACACACACACACACACACACACACACACACAUGUACAAACGAACACACAAUGUCGAGGGGUAUUUAUGGACGUCAAGCCAACAAGCACUUCACAGGCUCUCAAGGUGGUCUCGGGUCAAGAGGUCUCCUGUUCUUGUUUCCCGUAAACAUGAGGACCCCUGUACACCCCUGUAUCAAAUGUUCAUGGUGUAAUAAUUACUUCCCGUUGUCCGCACUCGUAGCUCAUAGGGCGGCCUGCCUUCCAGAGGGCCUUGGGACUGGAUCGAAAGAUAUAUCUACUAGAAACAAUGAAGAGACGUCGUCGACUAGCUCUGAUCGAUCAGAUGUCGGUUUCUCUCAACCAGACCCCAGCGAUAUUGGAAGUUGUUCUCCACGGGCGGGUCUCAGCGACGAAGCCAGUCAAAACCAAAGGACUAUCUCCGAAGAAGGCGGGUCUGGUAGGCUCAGCCAUUGGCCCUCCUCUUCAACGAUCGGUAGUGGAGGAAAACGAAAACAAGCGAAUACAGGAACAAACGGUAAGUUUCUACGUUUUUUAUUGCGCACACGUCUGUUCUAAGGAAAAAAAUUGUAAUUUCACUAUUUCUCUCUAAUAUUAUUUUACCUUUCUUCAGACACCUGCAGGAAAAAGCA